ensembl:lncRNA
UUUUUUUUUUAAUCGAACCACUGGUGUUAAAAAUUUUGCACAAAGAAAAAAAUGUAUUUCAUAAACAAAUGUGAUGUCAUUAUAAUAUAUGACCUUGUGUGUGUGUGUGUGGGUGUGUGUGUGUACAUAGAAUAUGCACAUACGAGUGCAUCGCGUACAGAUCCGGCCUUUAAUCAGUGGCGGCUGCUUAAAAAAGAACAUCAAAAGCUGGAUUUACACAGAAAUAAACAUUUUAAGCCACAAUUUCAAGCAUUAAUGUCCAAAAAAUAACAUUUAAACACAAAGAGCUCUGAAAUCCCUUUUUGGUCCAAGAUAAACCUCUAAAACCUAAAACCUAAGAAGUGUGUUAAAGUUUCACCUUUACAGAUUUUCUAAAUAAAAAUGAUCCCUUAGUGUUCUAAAAUGGCUUAGAUGUAACUCUACACACCUGUUUCUUUUUAGAUUUUGCAUCUCGAGCACAUCGUACUCAAUGCUACGCUACGGCAGCUUGGAAUAUUAAAUCAGGAGAGUCAACUUCAUUCUAGUUCAGGUUCCACAUUCAGCCCAUUCUGAUCUCCAGUGACCAGUAAAAUCACAGUUUAAUAACCUAUAAAUAACCACAACUCCACAUAUUUCCUUACAUAUGUACAUUGUGAAAAUGUUCACAUUUAAGGAUUUAAUUUUUACAAAACAUCAUGAACAACCUGAAAUUUCUGAAGAAAAAUAAGUUCAGUUUCAUCAACAUUCAGCCUCAGUUUAUCAUUUCCACAUUACAGCUUCCAGAUCAGAGUGUCUACAAAGGAACACAACAUUUAGUCAUCUGGAACUGAACCAUAGAGGAUUUUACUUUGAAAAAAGACAACAAAACAACAGAACAUUGCAAAAAUGAGACACAAAUGACAUAAGCAAGAAACAAAAUGAGAAAAAAUAAGACAAACAACAUGAAACAAAACAAAAAAGUGACCAAAAAUUUUACAAAAAAGUUACACAAAUGGACAAACGAGACAAAAAAUGACAAAAGUAUGAAACAAUAUGACAAAAAUGACACCCAAAACAAUGAAUAAAGCAAAACACAAAAUGACAAAAAUGAGACAAAAAACACAAGCGAGACAAAAAGGAAACACAAAACGACAGAAAUAUGAGACAGAUGAUAAAAGUCAGACAAAAAACAACAAAAACAAGACAAAAUAUUUCAAAAAUGAGACACAAAAUUACAAAAUAACAAUCUAGUAUUUUACUUUAUGAUCAAAACAACUUGUCAUGGUCUAGAAAUUAUUUUAAAUUUAUAGUUUUACUAAUUUACAAUCUGCAGUUGAUGUCUUCUCUGGAAUUUUUACACUUUGAGGGCCGGAUUGGACCCUCUGGAGGACUGCUUUUGGCCCGUGGACCGCAUGUUGGACACCCCUGCAUUAGAGUAAUUCAGCUGUAUGUGUUUGAUGUUCUAGAAACCCUGAACGUUGAUAGGAUUCUGGUUCUUUAGGUUUGUUUUGUAUCAUCGCUACACUAAAAUUUAAAGGUAGAAAUGCUCAGCUAAGGCUUUGACUGCUUAUUUUACUCAUGAGACACCACAUUUACAUCCAUUUACAGGUUGAAAAUGCUCAAUUUUCACUAGAAUACGUCUUUAAAACAGUAAAAAGGUAAUUUUAAUGAUUAAAAAUUCACUGUAAUUGAUCUGAUCUGGAACUACAAAACUCUAAUCUGAUGCUUGAGAAAGGAGAAAAACCAAAGCACUAGGAGCUUUUAAAACAUGUUUAAAGUGAAACACAGAGCUAAAGCAGCUGAUAUCUGUAGCUAUCCAGGAAAAAUCUCAUUAUCCUGUUUAUUUUCUCACUUUAGUACAGAAUCCACCCUGGAAACGUCGCCCACUUUGUGCUUUUAAUCAGAUUUUAAUUUCUGUGUAACUCUGAGCCUUUUAUUUGUUCCAGUAACAUUCUUAAAAUCCCGUUUAAAGCUUCAUCCGUCGCCGCUGUGACUCGAAAGGCACCGGAGAUCACACUACAUGCAUGUAGAUGCGCACGGCGUGGUGUGUAGGAGUGUGUGUGUGGCAGUACACUAGCAGUCCUUAAAGCUGUGACACUCGAGGUUUCUUCUGUUUAACACUAGUUUAGAUGAACCGAACUGAGGGGGAAAAUCUGUCGAAUCUUCCAGAGCUCAAACUUAAUUUCAACAACUUUAGUUGUCAUCUCUGAAUUUAAUCACAAAUGCAGCCUUUUUCUGUUUCUAAAAAACCUGCUUUUGCUGCCAUCUUGUGAGUAAUUUUAAGAUUUUUUUUCCCAUUAUCUUGUCACAACCAAGUAAAUAUGGUUGAUAAAACAGGAAAAACAGCAAAUCCAGUGUUGUCCUUUAAAUGUUCAGUAAAUUGGAGAUAUAUUCUUGGAUCACAAGCUGCAGCUUCGUAUAAAAUGUGUCCCUAAAUGGCUCUAAAGGAGAAAUUCUGGCAUGUAGGAGUUGGAUAAUGUAAGAAGAGAUUUUAACAGCUGUAUAAAGUGAAAUCUGAUUCCCUUCCAAAAUCCAGAAAAUUCAAAUAUUCUUGAACCUCUUGCAACCUUCACUGUGUUUUAAUUGAGUUUAUUUGUGGAUAAAGUUUCAACUCAAACAAAUCUGGCUAAAUUUCAACAUUUUAAAGUCCCUCUGAGGGGCUAAAUUUCACAUUUUUUUAAACAGAAGUGUUGCUUUGUGGCUGAAAAAGGCUCACUUCACAUCUACAGAAGAGAUAAAUGUCAAAUCUGUCAUGUUUGUUCCAUUUUCAAGUCCAGAAAUGUGCUCCAGCUGAACACGGUUUCACCAUUUAUGUUUUUUUCCUCUUAAAUAUUUAGAAUUCAGUCAAAUCUCAGAAAAAUCAAACGUCUUGGUCUUACUUUGAGUGCCCCAAAUGAGCGAUUUAGCCACAAAACUCGUGCUUCCUGCCAACAUCCGUUCACACAUCAGACCGGCCAGAACUUCAGGGCUGCAGCCAAGUUUUAUUUACAUUUUUUUUUUUUUUUUUUUUUUUUUUUUAAGCAAAAAUUGCUCCAUUAUUGUCAAAAAGGUUCGGUUAUUUCAUUGAUUUCGUGCCACUUUUGCUUGAAUUAACAAUAAAUGUCCUGCAUGACGGAGCUGUUCAACAGUUCAUCGUGUGUUUGGGGAAAAAAUUAAUGAAACAUUCCUUUAACCUAAUGCCAAAAUAUGUUGUUAAAGCUCCUCAUGGCCAUAUUUAGAUGUUCUACCUCGUGGUUUGUCCUAGACGAUUAAAAAAACAGACAUUUCUGGUUCUUAAAAACAGCCGUCAGCAGUGUCUAAAGUUAAAGCUUGUUCUCUAAACUCAAUCAUUGUCCUCACAGUCAAUGUGGAAAUGAAUAAAAAUUACUCAAACAUCAUGAAUACAAAGAAAUUUCCACUAAAAAUGACCUUUUUAGUGGAAAGUUCUAUAAAAAACUCUGUUUAUCUUGAAUUUUGAGAUUUCAAAAGCGUCCUUUCAAGCGGUUCUAACUUCUCCUGCCUGUUUUUGUUUUUCCGUGACUUUAAAACUUAAAAGCGUGCACGUCUGGGAUGUUUCUAGCGUAACAAAAAGUUCACGUGGGAUCUGUUUCGUAAAAUUCUGCCAUCGUAGACUCAGAAUAAAUCUGUAAUUCUGAAAGCAGGCGUGAAAUGUUCACGUCUGUUUUUGAAACUUGGAUUAAAUCACAUGUGGAAUAAAUCACCAGAUGUGUUGAAGUUAUGAAUUAGACACUCACUAAAGUAAACUCAGUUGGCAUUAGGAUGAUUUUCCUGUCGCUAACUCCAUCUCAAAGCAGAUUAAAUCCAGUUCCUGUGAGUUUAUUCCUGCAUCGGUUUGAUCCAGGUCUCCUCCCAGCCUUCAGACUCCGUUAGGUCGCCUCUGUUCUGUCGCUUUUUACAUCACCUUGGUCUUUUGUUUUCAUGAUGCAACGCAUAUGAAAUGUAAAUAGUGUAAAAUAAAAAUGGGUUUGUUUUACAUACUGUAUAAUUGCCUAUAUUUUGUUUCAGAAGUGUAACAGAUUUAUGAGAUGACAGGUUAACACAUUAAAAAGAAGGAACUCAA